rnacentral:rRNA from 1 species
UAAGGAAUAUUGGUCAAUGGUGGGAACACUGAACCAGCCAUUCCGCGUGCAGGAUGAAUGCCCUCUGGGUUGUAAACUGCUUUAGUCUGGGAAGAAAAAGCCUCAUUUAUGAGGAACUGACGGUACCAGAAGAAUAAGCACCGGCUAACUCCGUGCCAGCAGCCGCGGUAAUACGGAGGGUGCAAGCGUUAUCCGGAAUUACUGGGUUUAAAGGGUGCGUAGGCGGUUAUGUAAGUCAGCAAGUGAAAUUCCACAGCUUAACUGUAGGGACUGCUUUUGAUACUGCAUGACUUGAACCAAGAUGAGGUAGGCGGAAUGUGGCAUGUAGCGGUGAAAUGCAUAGAUAUGCCAUAGAACACCGAUUGCGAAGGCAGCUUACUAGACUUGAGUUGACGCUGAGGCACGAAAGCGUGGGGAGCGAACAG